ensembl:snoRNA SNORA74 Small nucleolar RNA SNORA74
AACAGCAGUAUGCAACUGCCUAGGUUGCCUUGUACCUGGGCAAGUGUUACACUGCUGGGAAAAAACAGCCAAUAGCUGGCAAGCAUUCUAGGCCUGGUUAAUGCCAAAUUGCUAAAUUUGUGUUAACUAUACAAGUGUGCCAGCAUAGUUACCAU